rnacentral:lncRNA from 1 species
GGGUUUUUGGUGGUUUAACCUAGGGUUCUACUGCUUUCCGGUGGCUCGAUUCUUACUCAUAGGACAUUUUGGGUGCCUCUCCGACGUUCCUGACCACAUUUUCAGUAAGGAUUUCCAAGGUUACACAUAGGGUUUUGUACCUAGGGUUUCUCUGUUGUUUGAAGGCCGAUCUUCUCUGGUCGCGAAGAAGGAGGGUAACU